CCGAGACUGCGCCACUGCACUCCAGCCUGGGCAAAAGAGUGAGACUCCGUCUCAAAAAAAAAAAAAAAAAGUUUGAUUGUUUAAAAAACGAAACAUGCAACAACCCUAUGACCAAGCAUUUACACUCCUCGAAAACUAAUCCUGACACAGAAACCUGUACAUGAAUAGUCGUAGCAGCUUUAUUUGGAAUAGCCCCAAACUGGAAACAUCCCAGGUGUCCUUCAGGGGGCCAAUGCAUACACCACGGAAUACCACUCAGCAAUAAAAAGGAGCAAACUGUUGACACAUGCAAUGCCUGGAUGAUCUCCCGAGAAUGACGCCGAGUGAAAAAAGACAAUCCCGAAUGCUUACACACUAUGCUCCCAUUUAUACAACAUUCUUGAAAUGACAAAAUAAGAAGAGAUGAACGAUUAGUGGUUACCAGGAGUUAGGGAAGGUGGGGAGGGAGAUCCUUGUGGGGAUGGGACUUCUUUAUCCUGAUUGCAGUGGUAGUUACACAGAUGUACAUGUGACAAAUGAUUUGGACUGUCCACCCACAUCGCACCAGUGUCAGAGUCUUUGUUGGAAUACUGCAUUACAACCAUAUAAGAUGUAACCAUGGAGGGAAACUAGAUGAAGGGUGCGUGGGGCCCUUACCUUUACAACUUCCUAUCAUCUGAAAUUAUUUCAAAAUAUAAAGUUAGGAAAAAAGAAAGCAACAGCUCUAAGUGCAGUAUGGCAUCCUGGAUUGGCUGCUGCAGCAGAAAAGGGACAUUGGGAAAAAUGGUAAAAUCCAAAUAAACUCUAGCUAUUAGUAUGAUUGCACCUUUAGUUUUGAUAA
rnacentral:lncRNA from 10 species